rnacentral:rRNA from 1 species
AGAGUUUGAUCCUGGCUCAGGACGAACGCUGGCGGCGUGCCUAAUACAUGCAAGUAGAACGCUGAAGGAGGAGCUUGCUUCUCUGGAUGAGUUGCGAACGGGUGAGUAACGCGUAGGUAACCUGCCUGGUAGCGGGGGAUAACUAUUGGAAACGAUAGCUAAUACCGCAUAAGAGUGGAUGUUGCAUGACAUUUGCUUAAAAGGUGCACUUGCAUCACUACCAGAUGGACCUGCGUUGUAUUAGCUAGUUGGUGGGGUAAGGGCUCACCAAGGCGACGAUACAUAGCCGACCUGAGAGGGUGAUCGGCCACACUGGGACUGAGACACGGCCCAGACUCCUACGGGAGGCAGCAGUAGGGAAUCUUCGGCAAUGGACGGAAGUCUGACCGAGCAACGCCGCGUGAGUGAAGAAGGUUUUCGGAUCGUAAAGCUCUGUUGUAAGAGAAGAACGAGUGUGAGAGUGGAAAGUUCACACUGUGACGGUAUCUUACCAGAAAGGGACGGCUAACUACGUGCCAGCAGCCGCGGUAAUACGUAGGUCCCGAGCGUUGUCCGGAUUUAUUGGGCGUAAAGCGAGCGCAGGCGGUUAGAUAAGUCUGAAGUUAAAGGCUGUGGCUUAACCAUAGUAGGCUUUGGAAACUGUUUAACUUGAGUGCAAGAGGGGAGAGUGGAAUUCCAUGUGUAGCGGUGAAAUGCGUAGAUAUAUGGAGGAACACCGGUGGCGAAAGCGGCUCUCUGGCUUGUAACUGACGCUGAGGCUCGAAAGCGUGGGGAGCAAAAAGGAUUAGAUACCCUGGUAGUCCACGCUGUAAACGAUGAGUGCUAGGUGUUAGACCCUUUCCGGGGUUUAGUGCCGUAGCUAACGCAUUAAGCACUCCGCCUGGGGAGUACGACCGCAAGGUUGAAACUCAAAGGAAUUGACGGGGGCCCGCACAAGCGGUGGAGCAUGUGGUUUAAUUCGAAGCAACGCGAAGAACCUUACCAGGUCUUGACAUCCCUCUGACCGCUCUAGAGAUAGAGUUUUCCUUCGGGACAGAGGUGACAGGUGGUGCAUGGUUGUCGUCAGCUCGUGUCGUGAGAUGUUGGGUUAAGUCCCGCAACGAGCGCAACCCCUAUUGUUAGUUGCCAUCAUUUAGUUGGGCACUCUAGCGAGACUGCCGGUAAUAAACCGGAGGAAGGUGGGGAUGACGUCAAAUCAUCAUGCCCCUUAUGACCUGGGCUACACACGUGCUACAAUGGCUGGUACAACGAGUCGCAAGCCGGUGACGGCAAGCUAAUCUCUUAAAGCCAGUCUCAGUUCGGAUUGUAGGCUGCAACUCGCCUACAUGAAGUCGGAAUCGCUAGUAAUCGCGGAUCAGCACGCCGCGGUGAAUACGUUCCCGGGCCUUGUACACACCGCCCGUCACACCACGAGAGUUUGUAACACCCGAAGUCGGUGAGGUAACCGUAAGGAGCCAGCCGCCUAAGGUGGGAUAGAUGAUUGGGGUGAAGUCGUAACAAGGUAGCCGUAUCGGAAGGUGCGGCUGGAUCACCU